rnacentral:rRNA from 1 species
CUGACACAGGGAGGUAGUGACAAUAAAUAACAAUACUGGACUUUUUCAAGUCUAGUAAUUGGAAUGAGAACAAUCUAAAUACCUUAUCGAGUAUCAAUUGGAGGGCAAGUCUGGUGCCAGCAGCCGCGGUAAUUCCAGCUCCAAUAGCGUAUAUUAAAGUUGUUGCAGUUAAAAAGCUCGUAGUUGGAUCUCAGGGUGAGCUCAGUUGGUCGGCCUAAUUGGUCAGAACUGGCUGACUCUCCCUUGUUUCUGAAUCCCGGUCGGAGUUAAUUCUUCGUUCGUGGACUUCAGAUCGUUUACCUUGAAAAAAUUAGAGUGUUCAAAGCGGGCGUUUGCUUGAAUACAUUAGCAUGGAAUAAUGGAAUAGGACUUUGGUCUUAUUUGUUGGUUUAUGGGACCGAAGUAAUGAUUAACAGGGACAGUUGGAGCCGUUUAUAUUUCGUUGUCAGAGGUGAAAUUCUUGGAUUUACGAAAGAUAAACUUCUGCGAAAGCAUUCGGCAAGGAUGUUUUCAUUGAUCAAGAACGAAAGUUGGGGGCUCGAAGACGAUUAGAUACCGUCGUAGUCUCAACCAUAAACGAUGCCGACUAGGGAUUGGCGGGUGUUAAAUCGAUGACUUCGCCAGCACCUUAUGAGAAAUCAAAGUUUUUGGGUUCCGGGGGGAGUAUGGUCGCAAGGCUGAAACUUAAAGGAAUUGACGGAAGGGCACCACCAGGCGUGGAGCCUG